rnacentral:lncRNA from 1 species
GUUGUGUAGUUUUGGGUACCGGUAGUUAGGAGUACGGCAAACACCUUAUUUCUUUGGUUCCUCAAUAUACAUUUACCAUAUUACAAUGUAGGCUAUGUGUUACAGCACUACUUUUGGUGUCCCCCUCAGGAAUUGCUCUUGAGAAAAUUUCAUGUAAUUGUCCCCCCCAAAGUUGAUAUCAGAUUUUCGCCCCUGCAUGUGCGGUAAACAGUAGCUAUUGCUGUGUUGGCAAGGCUACACUGGGUAGGCUACUCACUGUUAGCUAGCUAAGACUCACUAGUCAACUUAGCUAGCAAAAACAAGUUAAAAUGGCCAAACAAAGCUCAGUGUAAUUUUUUUUUUAAAGAGACCGUGCAUAGAAGAGGAUGUUGGAGAGUUUGAUAUUUGAUAUCAGUGAUUUUGCCAUGAAGGCCGGCCAGUCCCCCUAUAUCAAUCACUGAUUGCAUUGGUCUUAUCAAGGGCCUUAAAGAGAUUUUCAGUACAUUCAGAGACAACGAUCAGCACUACAACAAUGUUUUCAUUCAACACUUUCAGAAAUCAUGCUCUUAACCGCUAGACUAUAUCAGGGCAUCAUGUUCUAAUCUAAUAGGUCUAUGGUUUAUUAUGUACCAUCAACAGAUUUCUGCCAUCAACUGAUUUCUGCCUACGCCACUGGAUGGGGGCAUUGUCAUCCUAUAGCCAAAAUAAUGGCCUACACAGCAUUUUAUGAUAGAACGUUCAUUGUUUAAAUAACUCAGGAGCCACACCUGAGUGGAAGUGCUUUCAAUAUACUUUGUAGGCCUAUCCCUCAUUAACUCGUGUUUCCAUUAUUUUGGCAGUUAUAUAUAUGUGUGAAUUACCCAUAUAGGUAUUGCUGUAUAAUAACCAUUUAAUAACCACAUCAGUAAAGAGCAAUUAAAAAACCAUUGUAAUUUGUCUUUUAUUUGAAGUCUAUCUACUGCACUGUGAAGUGUUUGCAGAGCCAGAGGGUAUGGUUUAUGUCCACUGAAUAGUUAUACACGUUACUAUAUUGUCUCAAAAAUGACUAAAAAUGUUAUGAAAACGAGCCAGGGGAUAGGUUGAUGUGGACUGAAUAGUUAAACACGUCACUUAAUUUUCUCUGUAAACAUGUAAUGAAAACGAUUGCUUGAUAAAAAGUAAACAGAUUAAACAUGC